ensembl:snRNA U6 U6 spliceosomal RNA
GUGCUCGCUUUGCCAGCACAUAUACUAAAAUAGGAACAAUACAGAGAAAAUAGCAUGGCCUCUGUGGAAGAAUGAUGUGUAAAUUCGUGAAGUGUUUCAUAUUCUU